GAUGAAGAACGUAGCGCAAUGCGAUAAGUAAUGUGAAUUGCAGAAUUCAGUGAAUCAUCGAAUCUUUGAACGCACAUUGCGCCCCCUGGUAUUCCGGGGGGCAUGCCUGUUCGAGCGUCAUUUCACCACUCAAGCCUCGCUUGGUAUUGGGCAACGCGGUCCGCCGCGUGCCUCAAAUCGACCGGCUGGGUCUUCUGUCCCCUAAGCGUUGUGGAAACUUUCGCUAAAGGGUGUUCGGGAGGCUACGCCGUAAAACAACCCCAUUUCUAAGGUUGACCUCGGAUCAGGUAGGGAUACCCGCUGAACUUACGCAUAUCAAUAAGCGGAGGA
rnacentral:misc_RNA from 1 species